CAACUAGGAAAUAAGAGGCAGGAGUAGCUGAUUUCUGAAGUCACAUCUGCAUUUGCUGCGCUGCCGAGACAAGCAAUUAUACAGAAGCAAAGAUAAGUUGAACGUUGAUGUUUAUGGUUUUAGUAGCAAUCAGGAUACAAAAAUAUUUUAAUUGUGCAUUAUUCCCUCUUUUUAGCAUGGCCGGAUCAGACCUAUGGCAGCCAACGAAUCCAACACAGAAACGUGAGACAGGAAUAGCUGGUUUCUGGACCACAUGCAGGACUUUCUGAAUCGCCGAGGCAAGGAUUGAGCAGGAAAUAAAGAAUAGCAUGUCCAAUUCAAGCGUAUGGUAGCCACCAAAACCAGUUGAGAAAUGCAGGAGUAGCUGGUUUCUGGGCAGGAGUAGCAGUUUGGCCAGAAUCUAGCGUAUGGCGGCGUGUAUUUAUGCAUGUCUAAUUCAAGAGUAUGGCAGCCACCAAUUCCAAUUUAAGAAAUGCAGGAGUAGCUGGUUUUUGGGCAGGAGUAGCGGUUUGGCCAAAUC